GAUGAACGCUAGCGGGAGGCCUAACACAUGCAAGCCGAGCGGUAUUGUUUCUUCGGAAAUGAGAGAGCGGCGUACGGGUGCGUAACACGUGUGCAACCUGCCUUUAUCUGGGGGAUAGCCUUUCGAAAGGAAGAUUAAUACUCCAUAAUAUAUUGAACGGCAUCGUUUAAUAUUGAAAGCUCCGGCGGAUAGAGAUGGGCACGCGCAAGAUUAGCUAGUUGGUGAGGUAACGGCUCACCAAGGCGAUGAUCUUUAGGGGGCCUGAGAGUGUGAUCACCCACACUGGUACUGAGACACGGACCAGACUCCUACGGGAGGCAGCAGUGAGGAAUAUUGGUCAAUGGGUGCAAGCCUGAACCAGCCAUCCCGCGUGAAGGACGACUGCCCUAUGGGUUGUAAACUUCUUUUGUAUAGGGAUAAACCUACCCUCGUGAGGGUAGCUGAAGGUACUAUACGAAUAAGCACCGGCUAACUCCGUGCCAGCCGCCGCAGUAA
rnacentral:rRNA from 1 species